UACGAAAGGUGCAAGCGUUACUCGGAAUCACUGGGCGUAAAGCGCACGUAGGCGGACUUACAGGUCAAUUGUGAAAUACCUGAGCUCAACUCAGGAACUGCAGUUGAAACCGUUUGUCUUGAAUACCUGAGAGGGUGGGGGAAUACCUGGUGGAGAAGUGAAAUUCGUAGAGAUCAGGUGGAACACCGGAGGCGAAGGCGCCUGCCUGGCAGUGUAUUGACGCUGAGGUGCGAAAGUGCGGGGGAGCAAACAGG
rnacentral:rRNA from 1 species